rnacentral:misc_RNA from 1 species
GUUGGUGAACCAGCGGAGGGAUCAUUACCGAGUUUACAACUCCCAAACCCCUGUGAACAUAUCUUAAUGUUGCCUCGGCGGAUCAGCCCGCGCUUUGUAAAACGGGAUGGCUCGUCAGAGGACCUAAACUCUAAUGUUUCUUAUUGUAACUUCUGAGUAAAACAAACAAAUAAAUCAAAACUUUCAACAACGGAUCUCUUGGUUCUG